UUGAGAACAAAAAAAAGAGUGUAGCUUCAUAUCUGUUUUGGGCAAACCCAUGAGAGAGAGAGAGAGAGAGAGAGAGAGAGAGAGAGAGAGAGAGUUCAAAUCUUAGAACUCAUGUUCUAGAAAUGGUGAAGAAGGGCUAAGGAAAAGCUUGGAAAAAGUGAAGAAUUGAAGAGAGACUCAAGAAAUUGUGUAGAAACUCAUCAAAUUGAAAUCAAAUCUUGUGGAUAUAAAUCAUCUAGAAGCUGAAAUUAAGAGGUCACGCACUAUUGUCUACCUAAUCUGUCUGAUCUGCUUCUGCAGCUUUCUAGGAACAAUACUAUGGCUUAUGGUCAUGAGGCCCUCGUCCGGGAGAAACAAUACUGUGGCCCAGGCUCUCGCCUGAGGGAAACAAUACCGUGGCACAGGCCCUUGCCCGGGGGAAACAAUACCGUGGUUCACGUAUGAGAUAUGUUACCCGGUACCGGAGGUUCCAUUAUGGAACUUGAUAUGCUUGACCAACAUGAUAUGUUACGCUAAAGGAGGUGAUUAGGCGCGCGACCAGGCCCAGAGUUUCUGCCUGGACUUUGUCUUGUCAACCAACUUAUGUGCCUCCCGUGGAGGUUCCGGAUAUGUCAAGUGGACAAUGCUAUGUGAUUAAAGUUUAAGUUUUGUUAAUUCUGUAUUUAGGGCUAAGUCCCAUUUUGUCUCAUCUGUAUAUAUGAUGAUGUAGGAUUGAUAUGAUAAUAUAUGUAUAUUAAAAGUUUAAAA